rnacentral:tRNA from 1 species
GGACCCAUAGCUCAGCGGUAGAGCAUCUGAUUCCAGUCCAAUUACCUGAUCAGGGUAAAUGACAACUGCCUCCAGAAGGUCAUCCGUUCAAAUCGGGUUGGGUUCA